AAGUCGUAACAAGGUCUCCGUAGGUGAACCUGCGGAGGGAUCAUUACAGAGUUCGUGCCCUCGCGGGUAGAUCUCCCACCCUGUGUUAUUACCACCCUGUUGCUUUGGCGGGCCGCUAGGCUCGUGCCUAGCCACCGGCUCCGGCUGGUGAGCGCCCGCCAGAGGCCCUCAAAACCCUCUAAUCAGUGUCGUCCGAGUACUAUACAAUCGUUAAAACUUUCAGCAACGGAUCUCUUGGCUCUC
rnacentral:misc_RNA from 1 species